rnacentral:sRNA from 1 species
AUUGGCUGGGCAGGCUGCCACUCCCAGGGCAGCAGGGUAAGUGGUGCUUAUCACGUGCCCGGAAUCACCUGACUAGCAGCGGCUGAAGUGGGGGCGGCGCGGGGGGGAGGAGUCACGAGGAGAUGGCAGGGCCGCGCCUCUCGUCGGUCUCCGGGCUUUCGCCCUGGGGGCAGCCCGCACGCACCUCUGCCUUCCCUGCGCGUGCUGGGCUGCUCCCCGCCUCCUUCCGGGCUCCGAGUGUACCGCAGGGAAGAUGCUUCUAGGCGUCUGGGGCUUCUUCUCUGGUGCUGAGGCCACUCACUGACAUCAAGCCACGAGCGGAGGAGGAAUGUGUAAUGGAUGCAGGAGGUGUGCAAGUCCACACCUCUGCAUGCAAGAACAGGACAAAAAGCUGCAUGAAGAAACAGAGAAGGUGGAGAAACAGGAUCCCAAACAGGAAACCAUGACCAGUGAAGCUGACUUAAGGAACGAAGUCAGGUGUGGUGGUGCACAACCUUAAUCCCAUUUCCUGGAAGCAGAGGCAGGGUCUCUCUGGAACCUGAAGCAAGUGUCGUUCAGCUAGACUGUUAGCUGGCGAGCACAGCGAUUCCUCCUGUGUCCAGCACUGAAACUGCAGCCGCAUGAGCCACGCCCAGGGGGCGGGUCCUCUUCGCACCGCCCCCCAAUCCCGUCUGCCCGCGUGCCUUCUCUCCACCUCUACUGCUUCUCUAUACAGUACAUACCUCUUUAUGCUGCUCUUCAACUGAUACACAGCAAGUCCCUUACAUCAGUCAAAACGCUCACAAGUUAAUUUUUUACAGAGUGUGUUUGCAGGAGGCAGUCUGGUGAUUCAGUUUGACUCCUUCAUCACCUAAAUGGAGCACUGGACAACAUCCAGUAAGUAUGGUGGUGACCUACUCUUGGUUUGAUAGCGAUUUGGUCUCGUCUCAUUAAUAUUCUUAUAUUAGUAUCAGAAUUAGACAGUUAUGCAGAGCACAGCACUUCUACCUUCCAAGCACUGCCCAUGUGGCACACACACACACACAAAUAAAAAUAAUAAUGAUCAUAAUAAAAGUUCCAAACAGA